rnacentral:lncRNA from 7 species
GAGAACAGCCCAUAGCACAGCUUUCAAAACCAGGGCAAAGCAGCCCGAGGUGGUUGGAAACUCAUUGGUGAGGCCACGGCUCGGGCUGAAGUCAUGCUGGUGCCUGCAGCUGAGCUCUGGAUGCAGAUCUGAGCCACUCCACCAGCAGAAAGCGGUCGGGUUUUCAGAUCUGCAAACAGAAAUGGUGAUUAGAGCUGAGCCCGUGCUCGGUGGAGUGCUCUGCUCGUAGAUGAUCAAUGAAGACUGAUGGAAAUUCCCAUUCAUCAGCCUCAAGGUGUUGUGCUGAGCACUGGCAGCUCAGGACCUGUUUCUGGGGGCAGACAGAUGCUGCUCCGCAGAGCUGUCAGCUUGUCACUCAGCAGUGGUUUCCAAAGGCAACCAAGUCAAAGUGGUCCCAGGCAGCGCCUGAUGGGUUUUUGAUACCAGGCUGAGCUCCCAGGCCAGAGGCAGAGAUGCUCCUUGUGGAAACGUCCAUUUUUCAUAGUAUCAUAGAACCACUGAGGUUGGAAAUGACCUCUGAGGUCACCAAGUCCAAGCCCAACCCUCUCCACUAUGCCCACUCAUAGAAUCCUUGAAUUAUUAAGGAGAAGACCCACCAAGUCCAACCAUCAUCUCAUCCUCCUAUUCGCACUCAUAGAGCCAUUAAGGCCAGAAAAGAAUUCCAAGAUCCCCAACCCCAACCCAUCCCCACCAUGGCCACUAACCAUGUCCCUCUGAAAAACCCUUUGGCUUAAUUUAUGAGAUACCAGCAACAAGUCAUGCUGGAAAGAAGUCUGCGCACAGACCAUCCGCUGUCCUUGUUCCUGUGUGACCAUCAUGGAGCCCUCCAUGCUCUUCCUCCCACUGUGUCACAAGAACAGGAGCGUGGGGAGGGGUACGCAGUGCCCCGUGCUUGUGGGUGUGUCGGUGUAAUGCACUGCAGCUUCUAAGGAGCAGCCAAUCUCAAUAAAAGAAAAGAGU